UUCAUCCCAUUGGGGUCUAUGUAUCCAUCCUAUUGGGGACCCCAUGUACAUUGCACUGGGGUCUGUGUAUCCAUCCUAUUGGGGUCCCCAUCUCUAUCCCACUGGGGUCUGCAUAUCCAUGCCAUUGGGGUCCCCAUCUCCAUCCCAUCAGAAUCCCCACAUCCACCCCACUGGGCUCCCCAUGCCCCAGCCCAGGGGGAAGCCGGAGGUGGCAGAGAUCUGAUGGGACGGGGUGGUGAUGUGAAGAAGCCGUAUUAAUAUUUAUUCCAUCCAGCAGCUCCGCGCGGCUCCGCCGUGCUCUGACCGCAGCACCAACCCUCAGGCACCGCAAACACAAUUUGAAAACAAUGUGACGGAAAUGUUUAAUCUGCUCAGCCCAUCUGUGCUGCGUAUUUCUCCAGAUCUCCCUGAGAGAGGCGCCUUCGAAUCUCCACAUUGCCUUUAAUAUUCUCCUAAAUCACCUCCCCACCGCACUUCAAGGGCCAUUGCUACAAUAUCACAGCCAAUUAUUUUCGCCUUUAAAGCCUGAUGGAAACGAGCAGCCGCCCGCGUUCGGCUCUGCCCGUGACCUGUGAAGAGGGCUGGUGGUAAUUGUGCACAUGUGUGCGCCCGCGUGCGAGGAGCCGAGCUAUGGAGCAGCUCGGAGGAGGAAAGCAGGAGGAGAGGAGAGAGCUUUGGACGGAGGGAUUUUUGGUGCACGGCGCUUUGUUGGCUGUCAAUGGUCAGAAUCUCUCAUUUUUAACCACUGAUUUGCUGCUUGCCCCAUAGAGGAGCACUGGAAGGGUUGGGAUGUUGGGGUUACACCUUUGGGAAUGGCUCAGCGUUGGAUUCCUGAAGGAGAAUUAUGGCAAAGGGAAACUUUUGGUGCCCGGGAGCAGGACGUUCGGUUCCAUCCAUCCACAUAAACUCAUCUCGAAUGAAAGCAGUGCGUGACAUUUGGCGACGGAACAGCUUUAAAUGUUACAGCAUCCAUUGCUUUAAAUGUUACCCGCGCCUCGUGAACCGGGAGACGGUUUUAUAAUUAGCUCCGUCUCUAACGAACAAAGCUCUCUACUGUCUGCUGCUCAUCCACGUUAGCAAAGGCAACAGGGGAGGAGGGGGUGGCAAGGAUGGCCGUCACCUUUUGGCAAACCCGUGCCACCUAUGGGCCUUAUUCUGCCCACGUGCCGACCCUUGGCCCUCACUUUCCCCCCAUCACUCCCUCAAUUGCUGCUCCAUCCCAAAUCGAAGCAACUCACACCCAUCCGCCACACAGAACAGCGCUGCCCAUUGGGGACAGUGCAAAAAAAACCUGGGUUGG